GUGGGGAUCUCAUUCGUAGCUGCCCUGUAGGGUUUUUUUAGGAGAUGCAGCCACAUAAAUGCUCAGUGCCAAGCGCUGAGCGGAGUGCCCGACGCUUGGAAAGAGCUCAGCUACGUGCUGAUGGUCUUGGCUCUGAACCCCCUCGCCGAGCUGAGCGCGUGCGUUCAAUGAAUGUUAAUGAUGACUUGUAAAUAACUAUCUCAAGGCAGAAUAGGGUAAGGGCUAAGUAAGCACCUAAGUUCCAUACUGUGGUAACCAAAUGAAGCGGUAGGUAAUUCUGACGGAUACCGUGGGGGAGGCCUCAGCAGAGUGUUUGGGAUUUCAGUAAACAGAGAAAGGAGCCAUUGUGCAAGUGCACCGAAGCAGGCUGGUACGUGUUUCUGGAAGAUUCCAACAGGGCGAGGAAAGAGCUCUCACUUGUGGGUGGGGCUGGGCUGUUGGUUUGGCCAAAUCAUGCUUUAUUAGGGGCCGGCCGGCUCGGUUAGGGACUCUGUCAGCUGCACAUGAUAGGAAAUCAGCCUUGACUGGCUUACAACAGGAGAGGGGAGAUACUGGCUCCUGAAAGCUCAAGGCUGAAGGGCUGGUCCACCUUUAAGUGCAGCUGGACUCAGGGUUCGAAGACCAUCACGAGGACCUGUUUUUCUCAGUGCUGAUUUCGUUCUCAGCCACGUUCCUCCUGGAGCGGCCAGAUGGCUGUGGCCCUUGCGAGGUGCCCACCUCCCCUGCCAAUCCGCAGGGAAGGUCAGUGUGUCUUGUGCCUAGCAUUCCCAGAAGAAGUCCUGAGAUUCAGGGUCAUUGGCCCGACCUCGAUCCCAUGCUGACAGGGAGUUCCGGGCAUGGUCUGGACCCAGGCGAUAAAACUGACAGAUACAGACUCUGUGCACUUAAUUUUGACUCCAGGAGGCUGCUCUUGAGCUCAACUGCCUGACUCCCCAUCCUGACUCACCAGCCGUCUGACCUCGAGCAAGCCAGAGGUGCAAAGAGCUGGAGCCCUUUCUGCAGGCCUGUGUGUACCCCGUGACUGCCGGGGUUGGGGGCAGAUGGAGGCAUUCGUGCCACCUGCUCCAGACACGGCUGGGACGACACGGCGCUGAAUGGCAAGCCUUGGUUCAGCCCUGAAGGUUCACAGAGACCCCCUGGACCUCAGUCUUCUCAUCUGUAAAAUGGUGCCGAAAGCGGACGGCCGUGUAGGACUGUUCCCUGGAUGAAAUAAGCCGUUUCGUGCAACACACUCAGCCCGUGGCUACUACUUGUUCCUCUGAACUUCGGAGUUUUCGUAACUUUUCCUGUGCCCAUGUUUGCGUAGGGUGACGAUGCCACUCACCUACGUGGGUACGGCAAACCCCUUGGGUUCUUGCUCUCCCAGCGGCCAGGGAUUUGCACUGAGCCAUUGCAUCAGUUAAGACUCGUGGUUGCAAGUGACCGAAGCAUUGAUCCUUACUAGAUUACAUGAAAGGGGAAUUCGCUGGCUCCGUGGGGAGCUCUAAAGGCGGCCAAGGGUAGAGCUGGCUUCAGGCACCGCUGGAUCCAGGGAUGGAACUGAUACCAUCAGGAUCGGGUUUCUCUCUCUCUUCAUUUCUCACCGCCCCCCUUCCCUCGUUGUUGGCUCCCUCCCCGUGGUGGCAGAAAUGGCUCUAGUCUCAUCUUCUCAGGAUCAAGGCCAGUGGGAAAGAGCCAGCCAGCCCCAGAAUUCCCAGCAAGGGUCUCCAUGCAUCUCUCUGCCCUUCCCGGGGCCCAUCCAUCGCUGUGGCCAGAAGAAUGGGAUGCCCAGGGGAAGCCAGGCUCAGAUGGCAUGCCAGCCCUAAAGCCACCGGUACGUAGCCCAGACAUGCAUAGCAGGUGCUCUGCAGACGUCUGCUGCCCGAGGAUACGGAUGCGGAUCCCGGCAACUGCACGAGGCGUGGACCCGUGUCGGCAUCUGGCUCGUUUGUUGAGCGGGCAGAGACUGGCGUGGCCCAUGGGCCGAGAGUUUUGGUGACCAUGGUCGACUGAAGUCCUGAAGGAGAUGACCCUCCUUCCGAAGUCUCAUCAGGAGGUCACUGGUAGCAUCGCGCUACGUCACAGGGCCUCCGUCACUCACCCGACUCACUUCAUCUCGUUACACAGGCAUUUUCUCAUCUCCCAUCAUCAUAAGAAUAAGGGUAUUUGUGGUUGUUGGAGCGACUUCUACCUGCGCUAAACCACCCCACCCUGAGGUUUUGAAGUGAAGUGUUUUGAUUGGCUCCGAAUGUGAUCAUGUGAUUGAGCAUUGGCCAAUGAGAUCAUCGCAUUCCUGCCAAGUAAUCGGCUCAGAAAUCCCAGUGCCACCCAACGCAAGAGGAAGUGAGAUGGAAGAGAAGCCAACCAACCGGAAGGAGAACUGGCCUUAACUGGUGGUGGGCGAACCAUCCUAUUCGUGCAAACCACAUGGAAACACGUGACCCUGUCAGAAGUCCAAAUUCACCGUGCCCUGGUGGGUCCUUUGCUUAGAGUCUCCCAAGACUGAGACCAGAGUGGUCAGUGGGACCAUGUUCCUUUCUGGAGGCUCUGGGGAUGAAUGUGGUUCCAAGCUCAUUUCAGUAGUUAGCUGAAUUCAGUUCCCCGUGGUUUUGGGACUGAGGAGCCCCUGCUUCCAAUGGGGGGGGGGGGGCUGGUCUUUGCAACUAGAGGCUGCCCACAUUCCUUCUCGUGCUUUCCGUGCACCCCCCGCCAGCAGCAGUGGGGCAAAACCCUCCCAGGCUUCAAAUCUCUGACAUCUUCCAGCCCAUUUCUCUGCCUGCGGCCAGAGAAAGUUCUCUGCUUCUGAGGACUUUUUAGAAUUAUGUGAUUAUAGGGGCGCCUGGGUGGCUCCGUCGGUGAAGCGGCAGUCUCUUGAUUGCCGCUCAGGUCAUGAUCUCACAGUUUGGGAGUUCGAGCUCCACGUCGAGCUCUACACUGACAGCACAGAGCCCGCCUGGGAUUCUCUCCCUCUUGCUCUCCGCCCCUCCCCGACUCACUCUCUCUCAAAAAUAAGUAAACAUUAAAGAAAUAAAAUCAGAUCGUGUGAUUCUGUGGGGCCCACCAGGAAAACCCAAAGCAAUCUCCCUAUUUUAAGGUCUCUAGCCUUAACCACGGCCGCAAAGCCCCCUUUGCCCUGUAACAUAGCGUCCUAACAGGUUCUGGGGACUGUGCCGUGGGCAUCUUUGGAGGGGGGCGUUCUGCCCACCACGCCGAGCAAGGAGGCAGAGCGACAGGACUUACAUCCUCGCGCUUGCAUCACGUGGCACUACGAUGGCCCUUACGGCCCCUUGUGCCACCUGCAGUAAUUCUCCAGCAGGUAAAGGCCGCUGUUGCAGAGCUGGUGAGGAGUCUGGGCUCCGGAGCCAGACUGCUCGUGUUCAAAGCCUGGUGCCUCUGUUCGCUGUGUGAGGCUGGAGAAGUUUUUAAGCUCCGUGCUUAUUUCGUCGUCCACGCAGCGGAGACAGCGACCUUGGCCGCAGAGGGUAGUUAACGAGGAGUAAAGGAGUUGACACACGCAGGGAGCUGAGUACUGUGCCCGGCACACGGUGGCAGCAAGCUGCCACCACCAUCAACCACCUUAUCAUCAGCAACCGCACUGCCACGUCCUGCCACGGUCCCCCACGGCCCUUUUUACCAUUUGCAGGCGUAACUUUUUUUUUUUUUUUAAGUUUACUUAUUUAUUCUGAGAGAGAGAGAGACAGAGAGAGAGAGAAAGGGAGAAUCCCAAGCAGGCUCCACACUGCCAGCACAGAGCCUGACUCCGGGCUCAAACCCAUGAACCCUAAGAGCAUGAGCUGAGCUGAGAACAAAAGCCCGACGCUUAACCGACUGAGCCACCCAGGCUCAAGCCUAACUUUUGUCCGUGUGUUUGCUCAGUGUGUAUUACGCCCAACGAGAUUGAAGUUCCGUAAGGGGUAUUCCGUGGGAGGGAGUUGCGUCGGAUUCAUUUUCAAUUACCUAAGUUAUCAAGAAUACAUUUUGAAAGCAGAUCGAAAAUUCGAGAACGAGGCCAAGGUCUCCGUUGGGCACCAUGUUUCCUCCUGGUCCCUUCUGUCCCCCAAAGAGAGGCGGCCUGAAGUCGGAUGAUAUCAAGUGUUGCUGUGGGUGUGAAGAAAUGGAAAUGCCCAGGCGAUGUAAGUGGAUCCGGCCUCCACGGAGGGCAGCGUGGCGGCAGCGAUUAAAAUUAAAAACGGGCAUUUCUCAUGACUCGGCGGUUUCGCUUCUCUGGGAUCCCUUACAGCCACACAGGAGCCGCAGAGAGGGAUGCCCUUUGCUGUAUUUUUCGUCACGGCAGAAACGAGACAAGUAAACCGUCAUCCAAAGAGGAAUGGUGAAUUAAAACACAGCUUCUCCCGGAAGGCGAUGCAAGGAGUAAAUGUGGGCCUUCUAGCUCUGUUUCAAAACUUCAUAUUCUUGUUUGUACUUUGCCUGUUCUAAUAAGACCAGCAGCCUUGCUGGUUCUAGAAGGGGAAGGCGAGGCCCAGACGUUAAGUACCUUCCCCGAGCUUAUCUAAUGGGGCUGGAAUCUGAACCCGGGCAGUCUGACGCCCAAGUAAGUGGGGUCAGUCCCGAUGCGAGACAGCCUUUUCCUUUUCUUUUUUCGCAAGGCACGGAAUAUGUUCAUAUCGUUCAAGUCUUCGUGUGUACAAAAGCAAUGGGCAACAAGUGAGAGUCACCGAAAGUUCAGAACUUUGAGGGCGCCUGGUCACCGAACUUUCGAGAUAGCUGGAGAGCAGCGGACAGCCACAGAAAGGAACAAGUGGGUCUUUAUGGCCAGUUCCGUCUUGUUUACUUUUGUUUUCCCAGGGCUUCCCAAGGCAGCCCGCGCAUGGUAAGAACGCAUCAAGUAUUAAGGAAUAAAUAAAUAACCUUAGUGCAAGGCCUGCCCUCCAGUCUGACCGAAGGCAGGAAAACAGAGCCCGGACCUAGGUCUUCAUGUUCCUUGUACUUCGCCCCCCAGGCCCUGUGUCCCUGGGAUCCUGGCUGGGCAGCUGCAAGAAGUUUCGGGUUUGCUGGAGUGUAGAGCUGGAGGUCUUUGAGGCUAAGUGACGAACUGGACAUUCCUGGAAGAGCAUUAGGGAACCUCAAAGAAAAAAACAAAACCAAACCAAAAACAGCUCCCAGACCUACUAAUUGAGUAUCGUAAGGUUGCAGGAUGCAAAGUCAGCACCAAAAAAAUGGAUUAUUUUCUACAUCUUAGCGAUGAACAGUUGGAUCCAAACUUCAAAACACAGUAUCGCUUACCGUCGCUUCUCCCAAGGAAUUUUUUUAAUGUUUAUUUAUUAAUUUUGGGAGAGAGCAAGCGUGCACACACACACACACACACACACGUGUGUGCAAGCGGGGAAGGAGCAGAGAGAGAGAGAGAGGGAGAGAGGAUCCCAUGCAGGCUCCACACUCAGUGCAGAGCCCCACGGACUCGACCCCACAAGCGCAAGAUCGUGACCUGAGCCAAAACCAAGAGUCGGAUGCUCAACGGACUGAGCCACCCAGGCGCCCUGAUGAAGGAAAUUUUUAAAAAGACCUAAGUAAAUGGAGAGACACGCUGCGUUCAUGACUUGCAAGACUCAGCAUUGCGUACUCCCCGCACUGAUUUGUAGGUUUAACCCGUUGCUUCUCAGAAUCCCAGCAGUGUUUUUUGGAGAUAUAGACAAUAUGAUUCUAAAAUUUACAUGUAAAGGCAAGGGGACUAGAAUAGCUAAAACAGUGUUGGAAAAGAAGAAAGCGGGAGAUUAUAGGUUCACUCUGGUGUGAAGGCUCAUUAUAUAGUUAAGGUAAUGGAAACUGUGGUAUUGCAGCGGGACAGACACGUAGAUCAAUGUGAACAGGAUAGAAAACUCAAAAGCAGACCCACGCAAGUGUGCCCCACUGAUUUUUGAUAAAGGUGCAAACACAAUUGGCCAUCCAUAAGCAAAAUAUGACCCCCAAACUAGUCUCACAUCAUGCACAAAAAUUAACUUGAAGUGGAUCAUAGCUCUGUGUGUGAAGCAUUAAAAUACAAGACUAGCAAAAAACAAAACAAAACAAAACAAAACAAAAAAACACAUAGAAGGAGAUCUUUGGGACCUAGGGUUAGGAGAAGAGUUCAAUAUAAGGCAUCAAGAGCACAAUCCAUAAAGGAGAAAAUACUGUUAAGUUGGACAGUAUCACAAUGUGAAACUUUAGUCCAACUUCAGCUCAGGUCAUGAUCUCACGGUUCGUGGGUUCAAGCCCCACAUUGGGCUCUGUGCUGACAGCUCAGAGUCUGGAGCCUGCUUCAGAUUCUGUGUCUCCCUCUCUCUCUACGUCUUCCCGUUUAUGCUCUUUUAGCCUCUCUCUCUCAAAAAUAAAUAAACAUUAAAAAAAAUUUUUUUUAAAGGAAAUGGUCAAAAGUAGAUGUGAACAGACAUUUCACUGAAGAAGAAAUACAGAUAGCAGGUAUGUACGUGGAAAGGUGUGGCCAUUGUGGAAGUGAAACACAGAGCUACGACAAAGGAUAACUGUGCACCUAUUGGAAAGGUUCACUUGAGAAACUACUGACAUACUAAGUGUUGGUAGGGAUUUAGAGCACGCAACGUCUCCUACUGCUGGGGGAAAUGUAACAUUCCCAAGCAGUGGUACAGUCAGUCCAGAAAAGAAUUUGUCUAUUUCUUGUAGUUAAACAGGCAUUCACCAUAUGACCCAGCAAUUGUGCCCCUUCGCAUUUAAAAACCGACGUCCGCACAAAAACCGGUGCGUGAUUGUUCAGAGCAGCUUUAUUUGUAAAAGCCCUGAACUGGAACCAGCCCGAUGUCCUUCAGUAGGCAAAUGGAUAAACCAACUACUUCUCAGCCGCAAAGAGGAAUGAAGUAUUGAUAAGAUCCAACACCUUGGAUGGAUCUCAAGGGUGUUAUGUUGAAUAAAAAUUACAACAGCAACCCAGUCUCAAAAGGUUACCUGCUGUAUGCUUCCGUGUACAAGUAUCUUGAAAUAACAACCUUAUAGAGAUAGAGAAUAGAUCGGUGGUUACCAGGGGUUUGGGGAGGUGUGGAUGUAACUAUAAAGGGGUAACGUGAGGGAGUUUCUUUGUGGUGAUAGAACAAUCCUGUGUCCCGAUUGUGAUGGCGGUUACACAAAUCCAAACCUUUGCUGAAAUUUGUACGCUGGAAAUAAUAAUAAUAAAAAGGAGCGCAGGUAAAAACUGCCGAACUCUGAAUAAGUGGUACCGUGUAAUGAAUUCGAUUGUAUCAUUGUCAGUUUCCAAGUCUUGAAAAUGUAUGUGGUUACGGGAGAUGUUAUCCGUGGGGAAAGUCCAGUGAAGGUACAUAAGGACUCUGUACUAAUUUUGCAACUUUUUGUGAGUCUAAAGUUAUUUCAGAAUAAAAAGAUUUAAAAAAAAAACCAAACUUUAAAGGGGGGCUUACUCAUAAGAGUUGGAGAUGGCGACAGAGCCGUAUACAGUCGUAAAAAGGAUGACGUAUCUUUCUGGAGCCAUCCCAACUUGUACGCUCUGAUUUUCCCAGGACUUACAGUAGUGCAUAGCAAAGUGCCUAGCAAACAAGUGACCAGGGAAUAAGCGAACACACAUAGUGCAAUGUCUGUCCUCGUCUGACUCUGUGGGUCUUUGUACUCCUUGCUACCCCUCCCCCAGCCUGGUGUCCUAGGAUCAGGGCUAGGCAGGUGUAGGGAGGCUUGGGUUUCCUGGAGCUGGGAAAUGGAUGUCUGUGACACUGAGUGACAGAGCCGUGGAUUCUUGGAAAAGCAGCAAGCAGGUGGGCCGAGGGCAGCAGUGCUGGCCCAGGCCUGGCAGGGGACACAGUCUUGUCAGGACUCCCUUCUGGCCACUUGGUUGGGCAGAUGGCCCUGGGGAGGAGGAGCCCCUUGUCCUGGCACGAACUUGGGCUCUGAGCUGCUUUGAACUGCCUGCCUACAGCUCUCUGAAUUUUACUCUCUUCCUUUGAACCUCUUAGGCCUGGAUUUCAAUCCCUGCUGUGGCUUCCUAGGUGUAUCAUCUUGAGACAAGACACCUCAGUGUUUCCAGCUGUAAAAUGGGAAUGACACCCCCCCCCCCCCACCACCCCUGCUUACUAGACUCUUGUGUGGGUUUUGAGCUUAUUCAGGCCAAGGGCUUAGGGCUAGACAGGUUCAUUGUAGUCAGGGAACCCCACGCCUUUCACCUUCCUCUUUGUGACAGCAUCGGGCACCAAUGGAAGGGGUUGGGCCCACCCUUCCGGGGGGGUUCGUUCUUCCCACUGAUCCACUUGCCUGAAUUUCCCUUUGUAUCCAGCUGAGGGUAAGUUAAAGCAAGCACCCAGGGCAAUCUCAAGGGGGUGUGGAAGCCUUGAAAGGGCAGCCAGGGAGGCAGGGGUGUGGUAAGGCCUUUGGUCAGGGUGGCAAGAUGGUAUGCACCUGGGGUUCGAAUCCCAGGUCUGCCCUUUCCAACCCUCGGGCACCAUAUGUAAGGUCUUAGAAUCUCGGUUUUCCCAUGCCAGAGUGGGGCCCAAGACUCCUGACUCAGGGCUGUGUGAGCAUUAGACGUUUUAAAAGGAAAAAGUACCGCGUGGAAAGCCGUUGGCACCCUGCCCCACACCUGGUGGGUGCACCCUGAAUGGCAGGGAGACGAAAUCGUGAUCUUCACCGCGCGUGUGGGGAAUGGCGGUGUGGAAUUUGCAGCUGUAAGGGGCUGCUUGAACUGCCCCCUCCUCUAUCUAUCCCUGUGGCUGUCGUGAGGAAUCAGCGUCCCGCCAUCAAAGUGGAGCCGAGGCAGCUGCCCCCGCGUGCUGUCCCCUGGGUGCAGCGGGUCUCACGGGCAGCCUCCUCUGGGGACCGCGCAGAGAGCGGUUAUCUGGGUUACCUGCCGCCUCACCUGACUCAAUCCCUGGAAACUGGGCCCCAGCGUUCUGGGCCAGAUAACAUCCUCCACGUCCUCAGAUGCCCUGAGCUUCGUGGAGUAGGUGCCUGGGCAUGGAGAGGGGAGGGCACAGGGUGAAAGCCUGUCUGGGAUCAGCCACCAGUGGCCUCAGGGCGCACAGGGAGGAGGGGAGCUCAGUGCCCUGGAGGGCUGGCUCCUGCUGACUCCCCCUCUGGCCCAGCUGGGUUGUCACAGAAGCGACAGGUCUCAGAGUCAGCAGGAGUCUCAGAAAGCAAUCAAUCCAAAGCCCUUAUUUCCUGAUGAGGAAACAGAGGUCCAUGGAGGGUUGGUGACCUCCCUGCAGAGGCAGGAACCCAAAGUCUCCCCAGACCUGGUCUCCUGGCUCCCAGCUUGUGCUCACCUCCUCUCCGCCCUCACCACAUUGCUACAGAGUAAGACGGAAUUGGGUUCAGCCCCUGGUCCCCUUACUGAUUUGCUGCAGGAGGGAAAGGUACGGAGGCCGUCGUCCUACGCCUCCAUUUUAUCAUCUGUGAAAUGGAAUCAUCAUAUGAGCCUCCUCGAACUGCUUUAAGGAUGAAAGAAGAAGGCAUGCAAGGUGCCUGGGCUGGAACUCAGCAGACAAUGAAAGUGGCCGGGGGGGGG